ACUGUCAUUUCAAUGUUCACCACUACCAGUGUAAAAUAGCAGGACAUGCUUGUCUACUACAACAGUCUGCUUAAGGGCUAGGUGCCUCUUCUAGUACCCUCAGGAGCUGAAAAAUUUGAAGUACACAGUAACUGAAGCUGGAAUUAAUGGCAGCAUGGGAAACACCUGACAUCAAGUGGAAGCAAAAGAGGAAAAUCUAAUGACCACAGGAUAAGAAACUCAGUAAUGUAAUGUUAUUCUCCAAGUGACCAGCUUGUUACAGAUGGGUAAUGCUGCUGUUAUAACAACAAAGAUAAAACCUUUUUCUCUACAAUAAGAAAUAAUUACCUGAUUCAAAAUAUUGGCUGUCUGACAAUAGAACACCUACUGCAACAUCUGCAGCCCAGAAACAGACAGCUGUAUUUUGCCCAUCACAUGACUAAUCAGGCUCCUACAAUUGUCAGAUCUUCGAUUGACACUGAGAAGACAGGUUGCAAUCACAUUUUUAAAGCAUUUUUCCUCUUUACCUUCUGCUAAAGCAGUUCCUCCACCACUUUUUCCCACUCCAAAAUACAUUAUUGGCAGUGACAACAAAUGUGGAGAAGAAAACAAACCAAACAAUCAUUUGAUAUAAAUAAGUAUAUUAUUAUUGUCAGUGGAUGUAUAUCGAUACUUGUGAGAUGAAAAUUAAUUUAAAAUCUGCUCAGUUGGUAAUUAGUAUUUGAUAUUACCUGCAAUAGUUAUGCAAAACACUAACCACAAAGAAAAUUGGAGAGGAAGUUAUCCUAUUGUCUUCAGGUUAAAAGUUGACAGUUUGCGCAUUCUCUGUUCCCAGUUAAGACAGACAUUUAAACAUGCUUACUUUUAUUGUGCUCUUGUCAUUCACAAGCAUAACGAAAAUGCAUAAGAUUACCCUUUAUAAACUGAAUGGAAAUGAUGCAGGGGGAAAAGAUGACUUUUACAGAUACUAUGUACUACACUGAAGGAUUUUAAAACAUAAAAAUAUUUGACAAGCAUUGGUGCAAAAAUAAUCUCACCUCCAUCAGUACAGUGACAAGCUAAAUUCAACGACAACAGACUUCACAGGGCUUGUCCUCGAAACAAACAGCAAGUUUUCUCUAAAGGCCUUGUGAAGGUAUGAGGUUAUUCAGUGAACAUAACUGUUUUCCUAGAAAAGUAAUCUCCAGUGUUAGUUAGUUUUAUCUACUGUACGCGUAACAGUAUUAGCUUAUGUCACUUUCUUCUACAGACUGAUGGAGUGCUGUUUAAAUUCAUACAGUUGACAGAAUCAUACUCCUAAAUAAACAUGAGAAUUAGUAAGAACAGAUAAUAGGUAUUUUGAGUUAAUCUCAAUUACAGGAAAAUUUUCUUUAUAAAAGAAUUACCAACUUGAAUUAUUUUUCUUGCUGUAAAAUUCAUUAUGGAUCAAGAAGAGAUCUCACCAAACAAUCAUGGUAGGGGACUAAAUAAGAAACUCCAAGAGUUAGUGAAGAUUUGAAAAAAAAAAAAAAACAACUAUGAAUUUAUUAUAGUUCAAUGGCAUUUCUCAACAUCCUAGACAAUACAAAAACACAGGCAGAACACUGAAAUUUAGCUUAAGUAAGUGGCAAUUACAUUACUUUAACACAACUAGGUAAGCAUAUAUUUAUUGCUUUUUCUGUGUUCUACUGUUCUUGUUUUCUUCCUUAACCAGCUUCCUCCAAAACUUUCUGCCUACUGAUCUCCUACAUGGAAGGUCAAGGGUGAAGAAUGGGUAGUUCUUCACAGGGCACUUAAGCAUGGCUUUCAUCCAUUUGAUGGGCUUUCUUGCUCCGUUCUCUUCUGAGGUCCAGUUCAUUAUGAAACAAAAUCUUUUGCUGCAUGUCACUGCAAAUGGGGCACACUUCAACCUAAACUAGCCCCAGGGAUUACAUUGCAGAGCAAAAAAAAAAAAAAAGAUACAAGUUUUAUUAUACCUCCCCUCAAUUACAAGUCACUUUAAACCAAUUCAUACAAGACAUUACAUCUGUGUGACUAUGGGGAUACCUUUUCUUGUUUCUCAUUUUCUUGUCACUAUAUUCUUAUACAGUUACAGAAGAAAGUUACCAUUACUGCUCAGCAUCAGCUUGCCUUGAGAAAUGUCACAUGUGUUCUUAGGAGGAAGCAGCAGGACAAAGAUUGAAUUGGGCCGCCUGAAGACUCUGGUGUUUUCAGUCCUAUCUUAUUGUUCCCCACUUGGAGAUGCAUCAGUGAUGGAAGGGAUGGUGAGAUGGGAUACAGGCAAAGUGGAUUCAGUAUGGCUCACCAAGGUAUAGUCAUCAGGAUUUCCAGCUGAAAUGUUUCAGUCAUGACUCCAGUGCGAAAAGACAAAACUGAAGGAAGUUUACAGAACUGAAAUCAUGCAGCACUUCCAUCAGAAAACACUGAAGUGCAGAAAGCAAAGGUGUAGGUGAAGGUUUCGAAACCCAUGCUAUUAAUGAGACUAAACCACCUAAAUUCAGGACCCAUAAAGUGGGUGUUUCUCAGUGACUUAGUUGCCUAAUCUUCCAUUACAGCUGUGGCUGAUGAGCUGCUACUAGGGCCUCACCCCAUCACCUGGUGUGAUGUUAACUGCCUCCAGAUGACCAAGUCUGCAAUUAAGCAGAGUCAUUGUUGACCAUCAGGUGAGCUGCUCCCCAAGCCUUGCAAACAGUCAUCACUAGAGCUGCAAUUUGAGUACCUAGUGCUAUUUCAUCUGCUUGAGGGUAAUCCUGAUAGAUGGCUACCACCCCAAGGACACAUGCCUGCUGUAGGUACCAUGUUGUAUCUGUCAGGACUCUGAAGGUGUCUCAAAUAUCAGUAACAUCUCAGGUUGAACAAAGUACUGAAUUCAGUACCCAAAUCUUUGCACUCUCUCUGCACAGACCAGAACUCUUGAGAAAACCACCAAUUUCUUCAUUUAAAAAAAAAAAAAAAAAAAAAAGCUUUUAUAGGAAAAUUUCAAAGCAUAAAAAGACUAGAGCUAGAAAAGCAAAUAUUUUAAUUCAAAAUGGGGCUGUGCUGUGGUUGUCCUUCCUGCCUGUUCUCCACAGGCUAAAUUCUUAAUUUUCUACAUAUGAUAAGAUAUAAUUGUUCUUCCUCUGGCUAGAAACUUGGGAACAGAUUUGUAUUCUUUAAGUGAGCAACCUUUUGGUUUUCCAUACAUCAUUUGUUUAUGAAACACAGAUUCCACCAAAUCCACCAUCCAUGUGAUAUCAUCAAAAAAAAAAAUCAUCAGAUAAUUUAUGAGGUAGCCUUUGAAAUGCAUCAGAUAAAGUAUUUGAAAUAUAGGCUCACCUAAGAUAAGACUAAUGUUAUUCAACUAAUAUUUCUUAUGAAGACAAUGGGGUAACAGAUGCUAUGAAACAUUUUUCCGGUAUAAAUAUGUUACCUCACUUCAGUUUACAGAUAUUAUCAUGAAAAGGGUAGAAGUUUUGGUACUGGAUUUGAAUUGCCUGCCUACAGAAUCACCACCUAUUUGAAAUUCACAAAAUGAGCCAAUAUCAGGUAUCUUCCUCUCCCCUGCCAGCAGACAAGGAAAUCUGCAGGAAAUGUCUGGAAAGACAGAAUUUUUGUUCAGGAUGUCAGUCUCAAUAUGUAGCAUGCUUAACAUAAGGAUAUUUAACCAUAGCACAUCCUUCCGCUUGAUGUCCGAUAAAGCUGGGGCUCCCAUCUAUCUAUACCACCUAUCUCUCAUGAAGCAAGUCUUCUGGCCCAUAGUUACUUGAAUUUCUCACUGACUCUUUGUACAGAUUGUCUAAAAGGGAACAAAUUAAAAUAGGUCAGUGGAAUAUUGGAAUGUGCUGAGAAAUUUUGCACUGAAAAGAUGACACGGAUGCCCCACUGAAAGCAGCAGGUACAGAGUGAAGCCAAAAUCAUAUACAACAGCAAAGCUCAUGCAGGAUAAGGCCACUAGGCACUAUCAGUAAAAAAAAACAUAGAAAAAAAAUGUAACUUUUUUGAAGUAGCUAAUGUAUGCUGGGAGAUAACAUGUUUACAAAGACCUACCACCCCAAUUGUUUUUUCUACAUUGUGAGAAAGUGUAGGUUCAGGCCCAGACGACUGCCACUGAAUCUGAAAAUAACAAAUUUCUGGUCAAUGAUACUCCUGAUUAGAUGGAAUGUCACAAAGGGAAGUUUUGAAACAUUGAGUAAUAUCUGAUAAUAUACAGAAAAAUGCAAAGAAUUAAAAAGCAUUUUCUUUUGCUUUCAGUGAUUUCCUUACUUUAAUUUUGUAGAUGCUCUGGAAUGGAGCUAUAAGAACAAUGGGUUUAUGCUGUUUGUAAUUUUGGUGACAUAAAAUUCUAAACUAACAAUAAUCUGAAAAGUGAAAGGUUUGGAGUUGUUAUAUGUUUGGUUUUGUUGUUGUUGUUGUUGCUUUUUCUUUUCUUUUUUUCUUUCUUAAAUUAGAUAUUGGUGGAGUAAUAGGACAAUGGAAUACAGACAGUGGCCAAGCUCUCAUGUUUUUCUUAAAUUAAAUUUCCACAUGCUGUUUUUGGAGGUAGAACACUCUUAACGGUAGGUCAAGGUCUAGUCCGAUAGGAUAUUACUUACUUUCUUAAUUUUAGAAUAGGUCUCGUCACAUCCUCAACUCCUGUCCUAUUGUACAAGCAGCAAAUUAAUUUAGCUUGUUUUCCUUUAUUUAUGGGAGUGUAGUUCAAUAUGAUCACUUGGGGUAUCCAAUGGUGAAGGCAGUCAAAUACAAAAUUAAAGUAAUAAUAAAUCCCAAAGAACAUAAGUACUGUCAAGCACUUUCCUGUAGAUCAAACUGCAUUUCAAGAGACACUAUAGUCUUCAAAUACCAGUCUGCCGUAUGUCAGAAAAGUUAUUUUAAAAGGACUGUUUGCCUUUGAUGUGCUAACAAAAAGAGAACACAGUAGAUAUGAAAAAAUGGUAGGCCAGUCAGGAAUUCUAGAUCACUGCUUUGAAAGUAAUAUAAAAGAAUGGCCAAAAAUUUUAGCUGAGAAACUACAAACAAUACACUAAUUGUAUAAAAACAUUGAGAGUAAGAAGUAAGGAAAAGGAAUACUCUCAAUAAAAUAUACAGCAGCAAAAACCAGGUAGGCCUUUGUGAAAUGAACAAUUAAUUGUGCUAUUUAGGAAGGGAAGUCACGGGCUAGAAGUCUUCUUUACCAAAAGGGAAUAACAAAAGACUUUAGGCUGAAAGGCACCAAGAGAAAAUAGUCUGUUUAGGAGAAAUCAUAUCCACUGCUAUAAAGUUCUUAAGGUGGGAGAGGACAAGGUAUUGGAAAUAGUACACGCAUUCAAAUCCAGCAAUAUGUCAGAAGAGAUACCUGUAUGGGGUUGGAGUUCACUUUUAGAAAGGUAUCCAGGCAGACAGAAGGGAUUCCUACUACCAUGCAGACAUAUUUAACCCGAGCAACGUUAGCUCAGGUAGAUUUUUACCUCCUUUCCUUGCAAAGGGUAAGCAACAGAGCUUGGAAGAAAUCAUGCUGUGCCCAAAAGGCCAGAAGAGUACUGCUGGAUGGGAGUGUAUCACUGGACAGCUUUGAGCCUCCUCCACCUCUUCAGACUAGCCAAGAAAUCAACCCUUGGAGUAAAGCAUAUUCUGUACCCAAAACUUUACAGGCCAACAUAAAUGUAUAAAGAAGGUUGUACUAAUAGCACACAAUCAGACAGUUCUAAUAUAAAUGAAUAUUUAAUUGAAGCCUAUUCAUUUACCAACUAAAAAUUAUGGGGCCGAGAUUCCAACACCAGGAAAGGUUGAUAGUCAAAUUAUAAACCUUGGAAAAUAUGAUUAUGCUAUUAAAGCAGCAAUAAGGGAUCUUUAACUAUAGAAAAACAAACAGUUCUGCUAUAAUUCAAAGUACAGAAACUAUAAGAGAUUGCAUCAAGUGAAGAACUAGGAAAGCAGAUAUUACAACCCCUGCUGUUUCUGCAAACAUUUUUAUUAGGUAGAGAAGCAAUGGAAUUGGACCAAAGGGAAUGAGUUUCUGCAAGCUAUUUACCAACUAUAAACUAGCAAAGGUACAGGGAAUUCUAGUUACACUGCAAGCUAUUAAGGUUGUUUUUUCUCUUUGCCUUCCCCCCCAAAUGGCUGUUCAAUAUGAAAAAUGACUCUCUGUCAGCAGAGACUCCUCGUAACCCAUCCUGAUUGGCAACUUUCAUUGCUUUAUUAAGAUAAACUAGUAGUAUGCAACUAUAACAUUUCACAUAAGUGAAGUUAGAAACUGAGAAACACGGUUGUGUCAUGCGAGAAUAGAAACUAAAGAAUAAAUCUAGAUCUACCCUGUCAAACAAAUUAACAGUGAGCAGCCAGUUCUGUACAGCCCCUUGAUCAAAUUCACUCAAGCAAAGUUAUGCAAAAUAAUUUACUGACCAAAAUAUUUUCAGUUGCUUUGGCCAGUAUUCAUAUUAUGAACACUAAUUAUUCCUUCUGUUCUCUAGCAUAAGCUAGAAAUAUAUGAUAUAUGACAAACAGAGAAUGAUCAUCACCUUAUGUUCUAUUUUCCUCUUGUGAAGAAAGAGGCAUAGAAGUGUAUUAUUUUCACUUAAGCCUUAUUUAAUAAACAUAUUUCCAAAUAUUUUGAUAAAUUUUUAUUGAAAAAUAAAAUUUUGUCAAAACUUUAACAUUUUACAAGAUGGCACCAAGUGUUAUGAAAUGUGUAAAUCAAAAUAUGAGGUAUGUUUUGUUCCUACUCUUUCAUUUCUUUCUCACUGUGAUAUUUUCUAAAUUAAAUACAAAAAAAGUCAUACAUUGUCUUGAUAGAACUGUUUCCAUUGUAAGCCUCUAAAUCAUUCAGAGCUCUGGGCUUAGAGAGCUCUCAGUAGAUUCUCAAACCCUCACUCUCCAAGACAGAACUUAUUAGACCUCCACCCUUCAAAUCCUUUCUCUUAAUUUAACCAAUUCCUUUAAAAAGUAUCAAAAACUGAGCAAUGUUUUGCUUAAAUGUUUGCUUUGAGCCAGACAGAACAACUCUAAAUCUGGUUUCCCAGCUUACAAUGCAAUGCUAUGACCUGCCCAAGGUCUAUAGACUCUUUGAGUCUACUUUUUCCCCCUCAAAUGAACAGAAAAAUCAGUUAUUAGCUACUAUUAUACAAUAAUUCAUGCUUCUUUAGUGAUCCAAACUCCUCACAGACAAAGAAAAAAUAACCUGCUAAGCUACAUGCUAACCUGUAAUCAUUAGCUCCAGAUCCUCCCAACCGGGCUUAAUGGAGAAUCUCCAUUAAUUGUUACUGGAGAGAUAUAUUCUCUUUGCAGGACAACAAACACAAAUAGAAUAACCACAAAAAGCAUGAGCAAGACUGAAACUGCAUGCAGAGAAAGCUAACUGAGUCUGCUUUCCAGCCUCCUUGUUUCCCAUUUGCUGUUUCAUAAUGAGGGAAAUAAUACUAGAGUUUGUAUGACAUAGACAAGCAAAUGUCUACCAGCUAAAUCCAUGUGUAGGUGAGGCCAGCAAGCCUCUUGAAAAAUGCCAGAACACCAAAUGUGUUAAUGCUGAGGUCUCUAAUAGCACAUCUGCAUCCCAUGGAGGUAUGCAGAGCUCAUUGCUUGCCACCUCAACAAAUGCCAUCCCCACUGCCCUGCCUCUUCCUCCUCAGGUCCCAGUCUCAAGCUCAGCCCUGGCCUCUGCUGAGCCACCCCACCCCAGCACUUCCCUUCACCCCCUCCAUGUUUCACCACACAAAAUUUGGGCUCUAUUUCUCUGCCAAUAGCUCCCUCCCAUUCUCCAUUUCUGAUGUCAGGCUUCCUCUCUCUGUUCCCCUCAAUUUCUUUUCUCGCAUAUGAACUUGUGCUUUGAAUCCGUCAAAAUCAGUGCCAAAAUCCUAUUUUUUUCACCAGAUAUCAAUUCAUUAUGGAUUAAAAGUGUAGAAUCUAGAUUUCCGGUGGAUUAUAUAUAGUGAUAUGAAAGUUACUACAUCCUGUUGGGAAUCCAGCAUGGCUUCUCUUCAUAUUAUUUUCUUUUUCUUGGCCAGAAUACAUCUCAUUAUGUGAAAACAGAGCUCUCAGGUGUUUUGGUAUAUAUCAGAAGAAAUUUAAUGCAAAUCUGACAAUGUGCAUUACCAGCUGCAGAACUAUUUCCAUUUUGGAGUAAAAAGAAAAAAGUUAGAGAUUAAACUUGAGCACUUAUUUGCUAGUUAGGAAUAAGAAAUAAAAAUAACAUGGGAAAGGAAACAGGUGACAAAUUUAGUUGUAUGCUUCUAGUUUUAUUAGUGCUUUUUUGUUUCAUUAAUGUAAGAAAUGCAAUAUCUUGACAGAUGCUAGUGCUUGCAGGAGGACCUGCAGAGGUGAGAUGGGUGAAGGUUUUUGCUGAUUUUAGUACACAAAAUUUAAGCCUUCAUGUUUUGCCGACUUUUAUCAUCUUCUACUGCUGAUCAUAAGCAAACUUGCAUUAUCUUUACUUCAAUUCCGGCAACAAAAUCCACUAAGCCACAAAGACUGUCAGAAAUGAAAGCCACAGAGAAUAAUUUCAGGUGUAGGAGUUAGCUAACCUGGGUAUUCUUCUAACACAAGUCAUUGCUACUGUUAAGCUGUAGCUCACAUGCUGUUUGUUUUGUGUUUGAAGAGCUAAAAAAAUAAGAAUUUUGCUAGCAAUAGCACCUGUUAUUAUCAGAAACAUCUUUCUGGAAAGAUGUUGUCAUAUUUACUGUCAGCAUGUUCUCACUCAGGUAUCCCUGUGAAGGACUCUCUAGUACUCCCUACUAUUAUGCACAAUGUAAAUUGCUGUAGUUUUAUUCUUCUAACCAUUCUCAAAUGGCAGGAUUUUCCAUAGCUUUAUUGUCAACAUUACAAUGAUGGUUUAGCCUAAUUGGAGCAUCAUUUUUUUUUAAAUUGUCUGGGAUAAGGGAUUGAAUACAACAGUUCUUGGUAGUCAGUCAGACCACAUGUUUAUAAGAUUGGGUCCAAGGUUAAGAAACAUUUUCUUUUGCUUAAUUCUGUCUCCUGCUACUGAUGUUUUAAAGAUUGUAUUGCUUCAUUUUCUAAACCUCUUGUCCUGGGCAGAUCCAAACUAUCCAUUAUCGGAAAGCAGAUAUCCAAGGGCAGAGAGGAAACCUACCGUAUGCUGAAAUGGCUAGAGAAGCCCAGCCCAUGGCUAGAGAUAGCAGGGGAGAAAAGCUAUGAAUGAGGUCAUCUGUACGUACUUUGGCAAGAUUGCCUGGUAACCAAGCACUCUGAUUAUGUAAGUCUUGGCUUCUGGCUCCCUUAAGUCACUCAAAUUCUAUCACUUUACCCCCUUUCCAAGGUCAUAUUUCUUCUCCAUUUCAAACUGUCUUCUAAAUUUUGCCCUCUGGCCUUACAGCCAAAGUGCUUUGCUAGCCACUACCAAAUGCCAGAUUGUCCUGUCACUUUUUAUCAUAAACAUGAAUUAUUUGAGGAAAAACAUAUAUAAACCCUGGGUUCAUUCUUUCUAUUUGGCUAAAGUGAUGGGACAGGCUCUUUCUGUGCACCUCUCAUGUUAUAACUGAAAUACACAAGAAGAAACCGGUCUUAUUCCCGGGAUGAAGUCAGAACUGGCAGUCUAUAGUGAGGAAUUAUCUUCAGAGAAGCCAUCCAUAUUUUCCAGGAUAAGUGUGAUACAGUUAUAGAGUGCUAAGAGAGACAACACAAGUUUAUACUAAGUCCUUCAGAGCCCACGCAGACUCAGAAUUAAUGUAUUUUUAAAGACCUUUUCCUGAGGAUGCCCAGGGACUGAUGGCUCAGAAAAAAAUCAUCAAAAACCAGCUGAAAAAUUUAUUGUUACAGAAAACAUGAAUUAGUUUUAAUAGCCUUCUGCCUCUUCUCCCAGGUAACUAGUGAUAGGACAAGAGGUAAUGGUCUUAAGUUGUGCCAAGGGAGAUUCAGGUUGGAUAUUAGGAAGAAUUUCUUCUCAGAGAGAGUGGAGAGACAUUGGAACAGGUUGCCCAUAGAAUUGGCAUAGUCACCAACCCUGAAGGUUUUUGAGAAAAGUGUAGGUAGAUGUGGCACUGAGGGACGUGGUUUAGUGGCCUUGAUGGUGAUUAGUUGAUGGUUAGAAUAAAAGAUCUUAGUGAUCUUUUCCAACGUUAAUGAUUCUAUGAUUCUAUAAUUCUACAUCCCAAGACCUGCAGUACUUCACUUUUUGUCUCUGUUCCUUGCAAUGGAGUUGGACGAGAUGACAUUUAAAGGUCAUUUCCAAUUCAAAUAAUUCUAUGAUUCUAUGCUUCUUUGACUUCUAACCAAACUCCAUUGGUUAGAGCCCUCCACACAGCCCUCCACAGAAUAUGGACCAUCAAUCACUUAGAAUAAUUAUCCACAUAAGUUUUUACCAAGUUAGUUUUUCAUGCAUUCAGACUGCAAAGUCCUAGCUUGGAUUAAAAAAUACUACAAAAAGCUGUGUUGAAAGUCUGGCUAAAGUUAAGGUAAAUGACAUUCACUGUUCUCCCUGCAUCCAUAAAUCCAGUCACUUUAUCAUAUAAUACAACUGGGUUGGUCAAGCAAGAUCUACACUUGCUAAAUCUAUGCUGACUGUUCCCAAGAACAACUACUUUCAUGCACUCGGAUGCUGAAAAAGUACUCGCUCCACAAUUUUUGCCAAGAUCAAAAUGAAGGUGACCAGUUUCAAUUGGUCCUUGGUUUGUCAUUUGGUCUAUUUUGAAGAUGGCAGUUAUCAUACAUGAGUAUUACAUCUCCAGACUUUGGUUAACAACGAAGGAAAAGGGAGGAAAAUCACAGAAUGACAGAAUCAUAGAAUGAUGGAGUUAUUGAGACUUAAGACUUCAAACUCAUUUCUUGGGGGAGAUUUUGCCCUGAUCACCCUUGGGAAAUCUGUCUCUCCAACCUCUUCUAUACAGACUCUCUAUCUCCUUCAGCUAGGCUUUCCUCCAUCCAGAUGCUGGCAAAUUGGAAGUACACUGUUGCUAGAAUCUGAAAGAACUAAUAAAAACUAUAAGCAAAGUAAUUCAAUUGUCUGUUGUGAUUAAUUCCAUCCAGUUAUGGUUCAUUGGUAGUGUUUGUUGUUUUUUGUUUUAUUGUUCUGUAAAUUUCUCUUUGAUAGUAUUAUUUCAGAGACUUGUACUUUUGUUUCAACUUGAUAUACUAGGAAACUACUUAUUUGAAAAUUAUAUUCAACAAGUUUUGCGUCGUAGUGAUUUUAUCAGGAUUGUAUUAGAAAAGAGUAGGGAAAAAAAGGAGGGGUCUUAUGAAGUAGAUGAUGUUGUAAGAUCAUGAAUUUGAAUGUCUUUGAUGGAAUUAAUAGAUUUGGUCAACCCAAACUCUGGUAGAAUGAGAAAAAAAUUCAAAUGGCAGCUUUCAACUGUACAUAGGCUAAUAAACGUGUACUUGAAGCCUC